rnacentral:rRNA from 1 species
AGAACGAACGCUGGCGGCAGGCUUAACACAUGCAAGUCGAACGCGUGUAGCAAUACACGAGUGGCGCACGGGUGAGUAACGCGUGGAUAUCUGCCUUUUGGUUCGGAAUAACCCCGGGAAACUGGGGCUAAUACCGGAUGGUUCCUACGGGAUAAAGAUUUAUCGCCAAAAGAUGAGUCCGCGUACGAUUAGCUAGUUGGUGAGGUAAUGGCUCACCAAGGCGACGAUCGUUAGCUGGUCUGAGAGGACGAUCAGCCACACUGGGACUGAGACACGGCCCAGACUCCUACGGGAGGCAGCAGUGGGGAAUAUUGGACAAUGGGCGCAAGCCUGAUCCAGCAAUGCCGCGUGGGUGAAGAAGGUCUUCGGAUUGUAAAGCCCUUUCGACGGGGACGAUGAUGACGGUACCCGUAGAAGAAGCCCCGGCUAACUUCGCGCCAGCAGCCGC